GGUUGUAGUUGUUUGUAGCUACUUGCUCGCCUUCACGAGAAUCCAAUGGUUCCUACAUGAUAUGGUGUCAUUCCACUCUUGUUGGACCGAACGGUGAAAUUAUUGCAACGUCCGGUCAUGAAGAGACAGUAGUAGUUGCUGAGAUUGACUAUUCAGCUAUUCAACUCCAGAGAGAGCACAUACCCGUUCAGAAUCAAAGGCGGGGAGAUGUAUACAAGUUCAUUGACUUGGUUGAGCAUAAGCCUUGAAGCAUUAGUACUGGACAACAGUCCAUGUAAACUCAAUAAUGUUAUUAGAUUAUUCUGUCUUGCAAAUUAGUGACCAUCUUGAGAGAGUGUUCAGUAAAUUUUUGUAUGGGAAAUAAGGUUCCAGAGUCUUACUAUUUG